rnacentral:lncRNA from 1 species
AUAAAGCUGUGAGUCUACGACCUAUUUACAUGUCUUUGUUAACAAUAAAAGAAAAUGUUAUACACCUUUACAUACAAAGAUUUAUAUAUAUAUAUAGUGUUUCUAAUAUAUGAACUAAGUUGGCACGAAACGUAUGUUGUCUGUUCAGGUUGUCCCAUCAUACGGAGUAAAGGGGACCCUAAAAUUCGAAUUUCUUGGAAACCGCGUUGUUACCAAUGUGAGAGAAAUCAUUAAAAAAUCUUAUCUUGAAAAUUGUCAGUGAUGAGUCAGGUGAAUGCUAUAUUUCAUCGUAUGUCAUUUUUAGUCUGUGGAUAGGUUUCCGGACACUAAAUUUUAAGCAAAAUAAUGAGCCAAACUGCCGAACGUUUGAAUCUUGUUUUGUAUAAACAAGGUAUCAUCAGAUUUAUUAUACAGCGUGAAACCAGACACUAUUGUUUGUUGUUUUUUUUUCUUAAAUUUAAGCUGAACCUGUAUGGAAGGAUGGCCGCUCUCGUUUUGACCGAUUUCGACACCUCACGUUAGCAAUUUAGCACAGACCGUCCAAUGCAGGCAGGAAAUCCUAUUCACGGAUAUAAUAAUUUUACACAAAAACUGCUCAUCCGCGGGUAUUCCUAUGUAAAAUCACCGUAGAUAACCAUUUUGAUAGAAACUCCUAAAUGAAAUUAAAUCCAGUACUUUAGAAACCGACUAGACUUCAGUUUGAUUCGGUGCUAACUAUAGUUCAGUCACUGGUUUGCGAACACGUGUGUGCACCUUUUCUGAUCGCUUAACGUGUUUCCAUUGGCAAUAGUUUUAAGAGGUCGAAUGUUAACAUCUGAAUUCAUUUGUUGAAAAUGGCGUAAAAUGUUUUUAACUGGAAAAACUAAAAACUUCUUUUCUGAUGCAACAUGUGUAAGCUGUCAUCAGAUUCUUGAAAAACCACCAUGUUGGAUCCACCAAGCAAUCAAUGUCGGGUACAAUGUGUGACUCUUGAGCAGUUUUUGUGGGCGGGACAUUUAGUGUCGUUCUCGGCAAGCGGUGUUGAGGCUUUCCGUUUGAUGUUGUAUUACAUAACAGCAUGCAUGCUCACAUUUUUGUAGGUUCUUUCCAGGCUGGAGUUUGUAUAUAAAAUUGCAGGGAUGCACCAUCUGUAAUAUUUCACUUUAAAAGUCUAAUUCAUUGUUUGGUUGUUUCUACUGUUUUGAGUCAUUGUUUAAGUCUAAUUUAUUGUUUAAAUUUGUAGUUUCUACUGUUCUGACUAAAUUUUUUAUAAUAUGUCUAACCAAUUAAUUUUUUUAAAUUUUAUUUCUACCAUUUUGACUAAUUGUAUAUAUAUGUCUAAUUUAUUGUUAACUUUGCUGUUUCUACAGUUAUUCAUUAAUUGUUUACUAGUAUGUCUAAUUUAUUGUUUGAAUUUGUCGUUCUACUGUUAUUAUUAAUAGAACUUGGAAAUAUAUUGGUCAGACUCUGAUUGAGGGAUAUGUCAUAAUCAUUUGGUAUAAUCAUGCUGAAAUUUGUCGUUGCAGGAUCAAACAGUUGUGACUUUAGUUUCGAUCAGUCCCGCCAUUACAAAAGACUGGUUCGUUAUUUGAGAUUGUUAUACAGAAAUGAUCAUGUCCUUUCAUAGACAACACACGUUUUAUUGUUCUUUCAUAUCUUCCCCGGGUAGUAUAAAGUAUUUGAAUUACAUGUCUACAUCAUUAUAAUGUUGUUUAGUGCAAACAGGUGAAGACCACCCCUUUAAAAGGGCGACAACAAAACUGUUUAAAACUUGUGCUGGUAAAGCAGAUACAUACUACCUAAUGCUGUGAAGAAAAGAAACAACAUAUUUUCAUGUAGACAAAAAGAUUACUAUAGUGAUGACAUGGUAAACUCUUGCUUUUUAAUUAUGGUUAAAUGUGAUUUAUCUUCAGCAACUAACCUUGACCUAUUGAGGCUAAACAACAGAAACACUGCUACAAUACGACAAUCUGUCCUGUUGAGAUACACGAACAUGUAUAUAUUACGAAAAGCAUGAAGAAAAAAAAAGAACAACACAAAUUGUGCAAGCCAAAAAACUUGUCAUAUACAGUCUAUGCCCGGAACUUAGUGGAAAUAAACACGUUGAAACAUUCACUCAAACUGUGGGCGAGUAGCUUUAAUUAACACCUACUAUUUCAGCGCUCAGAUCGUACUGAAUAUGCCAGUUGAAGGACAUUAAGUGACAUUAUAUAAUAUCAUUUGAAAGACAUGAAAUAAUAAACAUUGUAUUAUACCAUUCGGAGGACAUUAAAUGACACUGUAUUUUACAAUUUGAAGAAAUCGCAUCGUCCAAUACAGACGCACACUAGAUAAUAUCGUUUUUAAAUUUGAAGGGUACUAGAUAACAUUGCAUUAUACCAUCUGAAUAAGACUAAAUGCCAUUGCUUUUUUAUCAUUUCAAAGACACUUAAAGUUUUGUAUAAUACCAUUUGAAGAAUACUGUACUUUUAUUGCACUAGUUGCAGGACACUAUAUAAAAAUGUAUCAGUUACCGCACUUUCAUGUAUUGCAAAAACUUUAAACUGACAUAGAAUAUUUCUCCAGUUCAAUGCUCUUUAAGAAGGACGAAUUCUAAUAUAGAAAACAUUAUAAUGUAGGUAAAACGUUGUCGUUCAUCUUGCGCAGAUGGUGCCAUUUCUACUGGACAGCAUUUCUGCACCAGUAAUCCCUCGUUUGCAUCAUAAAACGUCAAGGUUUGACAAUUAAAUCUAUAAAAACAUGCCGAUAAGCAUAAUACCCCAAAAUCUCAUUAUUAAUAUCUCGAUGUAUUAUGGUCGCUUGACGGAUUUUAUAUUUUGGGAGUAGGUUGGCCGUGUACGAUAAGAAAACGAGAGAUCGGAUAGCUCCGUCUUCCGUGCUGAUAGCCUGAGAUAAAGCGGGAAAAUAAUGAAAAUGUUCCGAAUAAAACCGUCACUUUAUCACUCCAGUGUCGUAUCUUGAAGUCCCGACUAAAAAUGCCAUUUAUCUGGGAUUAUCAGAGUAUCCUGAAAUUGGGAAAAUGGUAAAAUUGUCAGAGUCUUCUGCGAAAUAUGUGGAAUAUUGAUAAAAUUUGUCGCCAAAUCUGGACUGAUUAUCGAAACGGUGGCAGAUUGGUCCUUCUCUCUGUCUAAUUACAUAUGAUGGUUCCUGGUUGAUAAGAAGAGAACGUAUCAAGGGCCGCUAUCGGUACCGGUAUCCGUUAUACCAUCUUGGUUAAUGGAUUAAUUUGAGCAAAAUCUAUCACAGUGCAAGCUUUUCUAAUCAGUUAUCGGGACGUUCAUAAAGAAAUAGAAUAUAUGAGAUGAUGGUAUCUCAGCACGAGAAAUGGGUAGGCCUGAGUUCCAUAGAUAAGCAUGAUUCCUUGGUGCUAAAUCACGUCUAGAGAUAAUUACAAUUUGCAAAUUGCAUUUUGUCUAUGGCCAGAAUAUUCCAGCAGAGAUAAGGGGACUGUGGAGGCAUUGUUCUUUGUAAUACUUGAGAUGUUGGUCCUUAUCUCUCUACGAUAGCAAAUCUGUCUUGUUUUUAAACAGAUCCGCCCUAAACGAUUAUUUUGGUUUUCCAAACUGCUGUAUGUGCACGCAAAUAGGAUCAGUUUCACAGAUUUCCAUCGCAGAUUACCAAAAAUAAAUUUCUAGACAUUUUCACACAAUCAAAUCUAGAUCAAACUCCAGACACUACGAAGAAUUAUUUCAUCAAGUUAUGUCAUCGUUUUAUGCUAUAAUAAUUAAUAUCGCUGUAGCACUUAUGAACGGUAAUCGACACAUUCCAGUCGGCAUGCGCAAGUGUAAAACAACCUCAAACAUAUUUUGUGAUCUCAUCGGAUUCACGACUCACUAAUAGUACCGUCAUGAUCUCUUUGGAAGCUACAUACCAAAAGAAAUCCUGCAAUGUGGUUAGGAACAACACUUAUAAAAUAUUGGGUACUAAUAUAAUGUUAUAUCCAAUUUAAUGCCCAUUUACAUCAGUAACAUGCGAUGAGAUUUCAUAAAAUGUCACGCUAAAAUACCAACUCAACCAAAGGUAGUGAUUCUGCUGUCCAGAGGUCAUGUUGUCAUUCAGCAUAAUACAAGAACCAAAAUGUCGAGUGAUCGUGAUGACUUCAUACACUGUAUUGUCCCAAAGGUCUGUUACUUUGCCACCGGUAAAGUCAUGGUGCAUUGACGGAUGUACGCGAUUCUACCGGGUCAUGAUAUCGAGGCUUUAUCUGCCGAAUCGUGAUAUCAUGGCGGAUUCGGGAGUUGAUCUGCCGAUGCCCGAUAUAGAAGUAGGACUUGCGAUUUCAUUUUGGUCAUUAUAUCAGGAAAGGAAAACGAGCUAACCAUCCACAAAUCCUACAAACUUGUCAGCUGUAUUGAUUAUGGUUCUUUGUUCGUGCUAUUAUUAAUAAUUUCUUGACAAAAACACCACAGUGGAUUCUUUUCAAAAUGUGACUGAUCUUAAACAUCUCAUGUCCGAGUUUUAUUUACGAUUACAUAGUUCU